rnacentral:rRNA from 1 species
UACGGAGGGUGCAAGCGUUAAUCGGAAUUACUGGGCGUAAAGCGCACGCAGGUGGCUGAGUCAGUCGAUUGUGAAAGCCCUGGGCUUAACCUGGGAAUUGCAGUCGAUACUACUCAGCUAGAGUAUGGGAGAGGGUAGUGGAAUUCCCGGUGUAGCGGUGAAAUGCGUAGAUAUCGGAAGGAACACCGGUGGCGAAGGCGGCACGCUGGGCCUCUCCUGACGCUGAGGCGCGAAAGCCAGGGGAGCGAACGGG